rnacentral:lncRNA from 1 species
UAAAAACACAUUGGUAAGAAUGAAGAAGACUUCACUCUUGCCUACAUAUAUACUAUCUAAUUAGAAAUUAUGUAGUGGCAUUCUAUAGGUCUUCCAGCACAUGUCAAAUUUGUAAGAUGUGUGUCUUAACUUAUAAGGAAAUUUUUUUAAAUAUGGGCUGUAAAUUAAAAUAAAUCUCCACUAAUUGAGAGCUUAUUUUAAUUUGUAAUAAUUUUAAUUAUCUAAAUCUUAAAAUAAUUUUUCCUAAGCCUUUAAAUUACGUCCAAUAAACCUAAUAAUUUCUUACCUAUGAGUCAAAUAAUUCUUUAAUUUAGAUGAUUUAUUCUAAUUUAAAACUAUUAAUUAA